CUUGACAUGUAAUGAACAACAUGUGAAAGCAUGCGACUCUUCGGAGGCGUUACACAGGUGCUGCAUGGCCGUCGUCAGCUCGUGUCGUGAGAUGUUUGGUUAAGUCCAGCAACGAGCGCAACCCCUGUUGCCAGUUACCAGCACGUGAAGGUGGGGACUCUGGCGAGACUGCCCAGAUCAACUGGGAGGAAGGUGGGGACGACGUCAGGUCAGUAUGGCCCUUAUGCCCAGGGCUGCACACGUACUACAAUGCCCAGUACAGAGGGGGCCGAAGCCGCGAGGCGGAGGAAAUCCUAAAAACUGGGCCCGGUUCGGACUGUAGGCUGCAACCCGCCUACACGAAGCCGGAAUCGCUAGUAAUGGCGCAUCAGCUACGGCGCCGUGAAUACGUUCCCGGGUCUUGUACACACCGCCCGUCACAUCAUGGAAGCCGGUCGCACCCGAAGUAUCUGAAGCCAACCGCAAGGAGGCAGGGUCCUAAGGUGAGACUGGUAACUGGGAUGAAGUCGUAACAAGGUAGCCGUAGGGGAACCUGCGGUUGGAUCAC
rnacentral:rRNA from 1 species